UACGAAGGUGGCUAGCGUUGUUCGGAAUUACUGGGCGUAAAGCGCGCGUAGGCGGCUUUUCAAGUCAGGGGUGAAAUGCCAAGGCUUAACCUUGGAACUGCCUUUGAAACUGUUAAGCUUGAGUGUCGGAGGGGAUGGCGGAAUUGCUAAUGUAGAGGUGAAAUUCGUAGAUAUUAGCAGGAACACCGGUGGCGAAGGCGGCCAUCUGGACGACAACUGACGCUGAGGCGCGAAAGCGUGGGGAGCAAACAGG
rnacentral:rRNA from 1 species